rnacentral:rRNA from 1 species
CCUGGCUCAGGAUGAACGCUAGCUACAGGCUUAACACAUGCAAGUCGAGGGGCAGCAUGGUCUUAGCUUGCUAAGACCGAUGGCGACCGGCGCACGGGUGAGUAACGCGUAUCCAACCUGCCUUACACUCUUGGACAGCCUUCUGAAAGGGAGAUUAAUACAAGAUGUUAUCAUGAGUAAGCAUUUUCGCAUGAUUAAAGGUUUACCGGUGUAAGAUGGGGAUGCGUUCCAUUAGAUAGUAGGCGGGGUAACGGCCCACCUAGUCUUCGAUGGAUAGGGGUUCUGAGAGGAAGGUCCCCCACAUUGGAACUGAGACACGGUCCAAACUCCUACGGGAGGCAGCAGUGAGGAAUAUUGGUCAAUGGACGAGAGUCUGAACCAGCCAAGUAGCGUGAAGGAUGAAGGUUCUAUGGAUUGUAAACUUCUUUUAUACGGGAAUAAACGGAUCCACGUGUGGAUUUUUGCAUGUACCGUAUGAAUAAGGAUCGGCUAACUCCGUGCCAGCAGCCGCGGUAAUACGGAGGAUCCGAGCGUUAUCCGGAUUUGUUGGGUUUAAAGGGAGCGUAGAUGGGUUGUUAAGUCAGUUGUGAAAGUUUGCGGCUCAACCGUAAAAUUGCAAUUGAUACUGGCAGUCUUGAGUACAGUUGAGGUAGGCGGAAUUCGUGGUGUAGCGGUGAAAUGCUUAGAUAUCACGAAGAACUCCGAUUGCGAAGGCAGCUUACUAACCUGUAACUGACAUUGAUGCUCGAAAGUGUGGGUAUCANACAGGAUUAGAUACCCUGGUAGUCCACACGGUAAACGAUGAAUACUCGCUGUAGGCGAUAUACAGUCUGCGGCCAAGCGAAAGCAUUAAGUAUUCCACCUGGGGAGUACGCCGGCAACGGUGAAACUCAAAGGAAUUGACGGGGGCCCGCACAAGCGAGAAAACAUGUGGUUUAAUUCGAUGAUACGCGAGGAACCUUACCCGGGCUUAAAUUGCAACCGAAUAUGGCGGAAACGCUAUAGCUAGCAAUAGCGGUUGUGAAGGUGCUGCAUGGUUGUCGUCAGCUCGUGCCGUGAGGUGUCGGCUUAAGUGCCAUAACGAGCGCAACCCUUGCCGAUAGUUACUAACAGGUCAUGCUGAGGACUCUGUCGGGACUGCCAUCGUAAGAUGUGAGGAAGGUGGGGAUGACGUCAAAUCAGCACGGCCCUUACGUCCGGGGCUACACACGUGUUACAAUGGGGGGUACAGAGGGCUGCUACCACGCAAGUGGAUGCCAAUCCCAAAAACCUCUCUCAGUUCGGAUUGAAGUCUGCAACCCGACUUCAUGAAGCUGGAUUCGCUAGUAAUCGCGCAUCAGCCACGGCGCGGUGAAUACGUUCCCGGGCCUUGUACACACCGCC